rnacentral:rRNA from 1 species
UACGAAGGGGGCUAGCGUUGCUCGGAAUCACUGGGCGUAAAGCGCACGUAGGCGGAUUGCUAAGUCAGGGGUGAAAUCCUGGAGCUCAACUCCAGAACUGCCUUUGAUACUGGAGAGCUUGAGUCCGGGAGAGGUGAGUGGAACUCCGAGUGUAGAGGUGAAAUUCGUAGAUAUUCGGAAGAACACCAGUGGCGAAGGCGGCUCACUGGCCCGGUACUGACGCUGAUGUGCGAAAGCGUGGGGAGCAAACAGG